rnacentral:snRNA from 1 species
AUACUUACCUGGUACGGAGAGAACCGUGAUCACCCAGGCGGUUUCUCC